UACGUAGGGUGCAAGCGUUAAUCGGAAUUACUGGGCGUAAAGCGUGCGCAGGCGGUUUUGCAAGACAGAUGUGAAAUCCCCGGGCUCAACCUGGGAACUGCAUUUGUGACUGCAAGGCUAGAAUCUGGCAGAGGGGGGUAGAAUUCCACGUGUAGCAGUGAAAUGCGUAGAUAUGCGGAGGAAUACCGAUGGCGAAGGCAGCCCCCUGGGCUAAGAUUGACGCUCAUGCACGAAAGCGUGGGGAGCAAACAGG
rnacentral:rRNA from 1 species